CAAGAAGCAGCCAUUAUAGGAGAAAGAUGAGACCGGAAGACUCAGCAUGUAUGCGCUUUCCAUCUUCUGCCUGCUUUAUUCCAGCUGCGCUGGAAGCUGAUUACACGGUGUCCACCCAUGUUGACAGUGGGUCUGUCUCUCCCAGUCCAUUGACUCAAAUGUGAAUCUCCUUUUUGGUGACACUCUCACGGACACAACCAAGAACAAUACUUUCCAUCCUUCAAUCAAGUUGACACUCAAUAUUAACCAUCACAACCUCCAUUUGUAGUGACUGGGUCUGUGGUAUUUCCAUACCACCCAGAAUCUGAGCCUUCAAUUCUGGCAAUUACAAAUUGUCAAUGGAGCCUACAUCUGGAGCCCAGCCGGGACACCCUGUCCUUUUGUGUCAUCAGCAACUGAGGCCUCAGUACAGCCAGCAAGGAAGUGAAUCUUGUUAACAGUCAUGUGAAUCAGAGGUGAAGAAAAGAAGUCUUCCAGGAAAGAUACUUAUGUACAGCUAAGUCAUAUGGAAAUAGUACCCUUUGGUUCUCUCUCUUCCCUUUUUUUACUUAUCUGAAAUGAAAAUAUGAGGACUGAACUUCGACUCUAUCUUGGGUGACAAGAAGAACUGAAGUAGGAAGGAAUCCUAUGCUAAGGAUGAGAGAGAAAUAAGACAGCCCACACUCCACUCCCUUCCCCCAACACCAAAUGUGAGCCUAUCAUUCAACCCACAGAAGACUUUUUAUAAAUGAGAGAGAAAUGAAUCUCUAAUGUGUUCUUGCAGCUUAUUUGCUUUUUUAUUUUAGGAAUUGAAUCUUAUUCUAAACUGAUACAGUGUCUCUAUUUACUUUGCUUUGGUGUCCUAAGUAGAAACUAUAAAUACUAUUUAGACUUAUUGCAAUAGGCAAAGGGCAUAUUUUAAAUCAUAUUAUGGAUAUCUGCAACUGUGUAUCUUUUAGUUUUACAGCAUGUAUUGUCAUAGUUAUUAUUGUAAUCAUAAUGCACUGAAACUUUACAUCAUUUUCAACCAUAUACUAAUAGCGAAAUAACAUAAAUAUGUUAUUUUCUCUUUCUCUGCUCCUCUCCGUAUCUAUGUAUUUACUUCCUUUAUAUUAUUCUUAACUUCUUAGGUGAGGAACAAUGCUUUAAAUGACCAUGGACUUCUUAUCAGACAUUUAUGACAGCCAGAAGACCAUGGAACAGCAUCUCAAAAGUACUAAAGGAGAGCCACAAAACCAGAAUUCUAUAUCUAGCAAAAAUAUAUUUCAGAAAUGAAGACAAAAUAAGAAAAUUAUCAGGUGAAGGUAAACCAGAAAUAUUUACUGUUGACAUAUCUAAAAGAAAUGUUAAAAGAAGUUUUUUAGGCUAGAGGGAAAUAACUAACACCAGGGGGAAAUAUGAACCUUCAGGAAUAAAGAAAGAACAACAUAAAUGGUAAAUAUCUAGAUAAACAUAAAAGAUAAUUUUUCUACUUUUAGUUUUUAAAAAAUAUGUAUAACUCUUGAAAGAAAACAUUCUUAUCUGGUGGAGUUUUCAAUGUACAUGAAUGUAAUAUAUAUGACAACUAUAACAUAGAAGCCACUAGGGGAUAGUAAAAUGAUGUAUGGGACUAUAAGUAUUUUACAUCUUACUUGAAAUAUUAAGUUAUUAACUCAAGAAAGUGUGAUAAUUUAGGCACAUAUAUUGCAAUCCCUAGGAAAAAAUACAAAAAUAUAAAAAGGUUACAGAUAGGAAGCCCACAAAUUAAACAGUAUACUAAAUACUUACAAAAAAAGGAGAAAAUGAGAAGUAGAGGCACAAAGUAAGAAUAUGCACUAUAUAGAAUAUACUAUUUGAAGUACUAGCCCAUAAGUUCUAGCCCAUAAAAUUAAGUCCGUGAUGUGAGAAAAUUUUGGCUUAAGAGAAAAUGGAGUAAGCCACAGAGUAGAAGAUUCAGUGCAGAUGAGUGAACCCUUAAAAUGAUGUAGAAGAGAGAAGCUGAAUUGGGUAGACAGUAAAUUACAAUGAACAAAUAGAAUACUGCCUUUGUUUACUAUCAUUCAAAGUAUUAUAUGUUACAUAGUAUUACUUGAAAAUGCUAUGAACCAUGGAAGUGGAUUUUUCCAAAUCAUAGAAUUCACUAAUCUAACAAUUAUGGCAUUUAUAAAUACUAUUGAUAAUAUUAGUAAACAUUUUUAAUACAGUUUUUAUCAUAUAAACAUUUUGGUACAUGUUAUUUCUUUUAAGUGCCAAUAGUUUUUGUAUUUUAACUGCAUAUGGCAAAGUAUUUUCCUAAAAUAUUAGAACAUUUAUCAAUGGUGCAUACUUUACCUCUUCGUAAAGUUAAGUUAAUGCUCUAAUUUUUAAAAAUGUUCCCAUUAGGGCACCAAUUGUAGGAUGGAGUGGAAUAAAAUGAUAAUCUCAGAAACUUUUGCCUCUAUACUUUGUCUCCUUCCUAUGUGUCUGCCUCCAGCGACUGUAGGCCAUUUGAAGAUUACUAUUGCUGCUAUUCUGGUUACCUAGAAAAUGAGACAGAUUAUAAGGCCUAUGAAAAGACUUAACUUUGUUUAUGUAGAAUUUUCAUUAAAUUUGCUAAAGGGAAGUGCCUAAGGAGGUUUCCUGUCUUUAGCAAAUAUAUUUAUUGGUGACCAGAUCCUUUUUUGCCUUACCUUCACAGUUAUUUCUCUAACAUCUGAGGUUUUGGUAGUCUGAUUUUUAGCUAAGUAUGAUAUUUAAUUCAAUUAAAAGUCUAUAUUCAUUAAAGAAGGCUUACAUUAAGAAGAAUGAAGUUCUAAUUUAUUUUCAUCCAUCUAUAUAUAUUAUUGUUGUGUUAUAUAACUAAAAUCUUACUAUUAUAGAUUUUUUUUCUUCUAGCUUAAAAGUUCCAAGUGUUCUAUCUUAGUAAUAUGAUUUAUUCUGGAGGAGAGGGAUGUUGUAACAAAUACUUUCCAGUACAAACUAAGAUAUUUGCAUUUUCAAGUUUUGUAUUAGAAGCAGUUUUGAGUCUUAGUAGUCUUAUAAAAUUAUGAUUAAGUGACCAACAAGUAUAAAUUUUGAGUCACAGAUAUUUAAUUACAGUCGAGUUAAAAGAAGAAAGAAAAUGAAAUAAUUGGAAAAAGAUCUUUCACAGGAAGAAUGUCUUAUUGUUAGUACGGAAGAGAAAUAAAAUGAGAAAGAGAGGAAGGGAGGAAGAAGCUAGAUAUUUAUUUAUUUACGUAUUUAUUUAUUUAGAGAUGGAGUCUCGCUCUGUUACCCAGGAUGGAGUGCAAUGGUGCAAUCUCAGCUCACUGCAUCCUCCGCCUCCCAGGUUGAAGCAAUUCUCCUGCCUCAGCUUCCCAAAUACCUGGGAUUACAAGCAUACGCCUCCACGUCCGGCUAAUUUUUUGUGUUUUUAGAAGAGGCAGGGUUUCAUCAUGUUGGCCAGGCUAGUCACGAACUCCUGACCUCAAGUGAUCUGCCUGCCUCAGCCUCCCAAAGUGCUGGGCUUACAGGCAUGAGCCACUGCACCGGGCCUGAUUUCUUUUUUGUGUGUGUGAAAGUAGGAAUGGAGAGCAAUCACCAAGAAAUCCGAAAUGACAUCCAGACAGCAAGUAAUGCCAACUCUGACAAACCACUGCUGUGAUCAGAGUUUGCACCUCUUUAAGAUUUCAGAUGUUGAUUCUUUCUUCAUGCAUAUUCCCAUUAGAACAUUUAUCACUGAUACAUAUUUCCUAAUAGCUAAAAGUUUACUCAUUACCAGAGAUUGAUGGAGAAAACAAUGUUACAAUUAAGAAAAGAUCUUGGACCUGUCAUAAGAAAAGAGACACCAUUUGGAAUAAGAAGACCAAGAAUAUGCCAUUUACUGCCUUCAAGAGCCUUGAGAAACUGCAUAAAGCAGUCUUAGGAGGAUGAAUUCAAAUAAUGGCAAUAUUGCAUAAUAAUGUUAUUUUUAAAAGAUUAAAAGAAAUUCUGCCUACUGCAUCAUUUAUUAUUAAACUGUAUAUUAAGACUUUCUAAAUUUGCUUCCCUAAGAUAGAGUGAUAUUCAAUCAUUUUUGCUUUAAUGAAUAAAGUCCAUCUUUAAUAAGUAAUUGCAAGUGGGAGAGAAUCGGGCCUUUUUAGGUCAAAUAUACUUGAGACAUGAGGGUUCACAAAAUCUGACUAUGGAGAAUUUGCAUGAUAGGGUUCACUGUGCAACAGAAAGCAGAAGUUUCUAUCAAUGGAUAAAAUGAAAAGCAAGAUUGUGUCACAGAUUUUUUGUUUCUUUGCUGCUAUAUAAUGCCAUACUCCCCUCUGACCCUCUUCCAAAGUAUCCCCAGGGUAGACUAUACUAACGAGAUCCUUUUUCAGCAAAAGAAAGUCAGGCACUAUUCACAAUAGCAAAGACUUGGAACCAACACAAAUGUCCAAAAAUGAUAGACUGGAUUAAGAAAAUGUGGCACAUAUACACCAUGGAAUACUAUGCAGCCAUAAAAAAUGAUGAGUUCAUGUCCUUUGUAGGGACAUGGAUGAAGCUGGAAACUAUCAUUCUCAGCAAAUUAUCGCAAGGACAAAAAACCAAACACCGCAUUUUCUCACUCAUAGGUGAGAAUUGAACAAUGAGAACACAUGGACACAGGAAGGGGAACAUCACACACCGGGCCUGCUGUGGGGUGGGGGGAGGGGGGAGGGAUAGCAUUAGGAGAUAUAACUAAUGCUAAAUGAUGAGUUAAUGGGUGCAGCACACCAGCAUGGCACAUGUAUACAUAUGUAACAAACCUGCACAUUGUGCACAUGUAUCCUAAAACUUAGAGUAUAAUAAUAAUAAUAAAAGAAAGGAACAGAAAUGUUUAAACCUCCCCCUUGACUAGAAGUAAUUAAGUAACUAAAUUACAAAUACACACACUUACAUCUGGGGAGGUUAAACUGAUUUUAUGAAUUGUAUAAAUGACAAGGAUUCAUACUCUGGCUUUUCAGGUUUUCUUUUUUUUUUAUAAGAAAGCCCAUCAUUUAACAGUAAAUAGAGGUUUUCUAGUGUGUCAAAUGGGGAUAUGGUCAGAUUAAUGGCGAAUUCAAUGCUAUGCAUGUUUUUACCCUAUCUCUUUUUAUUUUUGCAAGAUGUGGACACCUUUUAAAUGCAUUAGUUUCUUCCUGCAUUGUACAAAGCAAAUAAAUAGGUUCUUUAAAUUCCAACCAGUCAAUAAUUGAAAUAUAUGCACAAAAAGUAUAUGUAUAAAAACACAUGUAAACUGAUCAAGUGUCCUAAAAACACAUUUAAAAUAAAAAUACAAAGUUAGAAGUUUAGCACUUAACUGAAUAUAUGUUAAUAUGCAUUAUAAAAAUAGUAAACUCAUAUAACAGAGAUAGUAUAGCUUGAAAAUUAAGGACUAAAGUCAGAAUGCUCUUUUUCAGCUCCCCAAUACUCCUAUUUAUUUGCAAUGUAACUUUUGAUAAACUUCUCAAACUCUUUAAAACUUAGGUUCCUCAACUGCAAAAUGGAAGGAAACUAAUCACUAACUCAAACAUUUGUUUUAGUGAUUAAAUAAAAUAUAGUAAAAAGUUUUUAGUAGAAUACUCAGGAUAUAAAAUUCUAUAAAUAAUUACCAAAUAGAAUUUGGUUGCGAAAUGGUCACAAAGAUAAUUGCAGAGAAUACUGGAAAAAUAAUUGACAAAAAUUUAUAUAUUAUUUAAAAGAUUGAAGUUUACAAUGCAUGCAGAAAAAUGCAUAAAGUCAUUAUAAAAUUGAGGUGUUAAUGUGAUUUUUACUACACAAGUUGGAAUAACUGCAUAAUUUCAAAUAUAAUAAAUUGUUAGUCAUCAAUUUGAAAAGAUUUUAUGAAAAAAGCCAUGAUUUUAUGACACAGAAUCUAUAUGUUGUAUAGAAAGCAUGAAUUAUAUUUCAUUUUAGUUAUGGUCUCUCUUUUCUUGAUAUAAUUAACAUUUAAAAUAUGUUUUCAAGGGUAUAUUGUUCAAUGUCACUAUAAAUAAUUUAUGUUAAUAGAAAAGCAGAAAUUAAAAAUGUGAUAGCCAAUAUUUUGGGUACAGCAACUUUCAUGACAAUCAUUUCUUUUGAAUAUAUCUGCUAUAAAUACAAAUUGAUACAAAGUAAGCAUGAUAAACUGUCAUGAAUUUUAAACUAUUUAAUUAUCAUCAUUAUAAUUGCCAUGAAUUAUUGUACACUCACCAUUUACCGAGAAUUUCUGUGUUAUUUUUUACUUUGUGUGUUUUUUAUUGUGUAUAUUUAAGGUGUACAACAUGAUGUUUUGAUAUGCAAGUAGAUAAUGAAAUGAUUACUAUAGGUAAACACAUUCACACAUCCAUCACCUUCCAUAGUAAUGUCUCAUUGUACAUGUGUGCACGUGUGUCUGUGUGUUAACAGUACCUAAAAUCUACAUUUUAUCAAAUUUUCAGUAUAAAAUACAAUAUGAUGCAAUAUUCUUUAUACAUUACGUAAAAAUGUAGACCAAGGGUAGAUUCACAAAUUAUGCAUCUGACAAAGGUUUAAUAUCUAGAAUCUAUAAGGAGCUUAAACAAUUGAACAAGCAAAAUACAAAUAACCCCAUUAAAAAUGGGCACUUCUCAAAAGACACUUCUGAAAAGAAGACAUACAAGUGGCCAAGAAACAUAUGAAACAAUGCUCCACAUCACUAAUCAUCAGAGAAAUGCAAAUCAAAACCACAAUGAAAUACCAUCCCAUUUUCUGUUACUAUUAGAAAAUAAAAAAUAACAGAUGCUGGUGAGGCUUUGGAUAAAAGGGAAAGCUUAUAUACUGUUGUUGGGAAUAUAAAUUAGUUCAGUCCCUGUGGAAGGCAGUUUGGAGAUUUCUCAAAGAACUUAAAACAGAACUACCAUUUCACCCAGCCAUCCCACUCCUGGGUUUAUAUACCCAAAGGAAAAAAAAAAUUUAUCAAAAAGACACAUGUAUUUGUAUGUUAAUUGCAGAGCUAUUCACAAUAAUAAAGACAUGGAAUCAACCAAGGUGCCCAUCAAUGGUGGAUUGGAUAAAGAAAAUAUGGUACAUAUAUACCAUGGAAUAAUACACAGCCAUAAAAAGGAAAAAAAUUAUGUCAUUUGCAGCAACAUGGAUGGAACUGGAGGACACUGUCCUAAGCAAAUUAAUGCAGGAACAAGAAAGAAAUAUAGCAUGUUCUCACAUGUAAGUGGGAGUUAAGCCUUGGGGACUGAUGAAUAUAAAGAUGUUAGCAGUAUAGACUGGGGGAUACUACACAGGGAAAUGAUGAAGCGGGGCAUGGACUGAAAAACUACCUAUUGGGUACUAUGCUGACCAUCUGGGUGAUGGAACCAUCCAUAUCACAAACCUCAGCAUCAUGCAAUAUACUCAUGCAGCAACCCUGAAAAUUUAACCCCUGAAUCCAAAAUGAAAAAUAAAUAUAUAUAUAUUUGUACUUAUUAUAAGUGAAAAUAUACUUAAUAUUUUCAGAUCAUUUAUUGGUUGUAUUUAUAAGUAAAAUUGACUUUUGUACAUUGAAAAAAAAGAAAAUGUGGUCUAUAUACAACAUGGUAUACUAUGCAGCCAUUAAAAAAACCUUGUUAUUUGCAGUGACAUGAAUGAAAUUAGAGGCCAUUAUCAUAAGAUAAUUAAAGCACAAAUAGAAAACCAAAUACCACAUAUUCUCACUUAUAAGUGGGAGCUAAAUAUUGAGUUCUCAUGGGCAUAAAGAGGACCAUAGUAGAAACUGGGGACUACUAGAGGAGGAAGAGAGAAAGGGGGAACAAGUGUUGAAAAGCUACCUACUGGGUGAUAAGAUCAUUGGUACCCAAGCCUCAGCAUCAUGCAAUACACCCAGGUAACAAACGUGCACAUGUACCCGCUGAAGCUGAAAUAAAAGUUGAAAGAAAAACGCAGAUAAAAAAAUGUCCUUUUUCUCUUUAUAUAUAUAUAUUUUUAUUAUACUUUGAGUUCUAGGGUACAUGUGCACAACGUGCAGGUUUGUUACAUAUGUAUACAUGUGCCAUGUCGGUGUGCUGCACCCAUUAACUCGUCAUUUACAUUAGGUAUAUCUCCUAAUGCUAUCCUUCCCCUCUCCCCACACCCCACAACAGGCCCCGGUGUGUGAUGUUCCCCUUCCUGCGUCCAAGUGUUAUCAUUGUUCAAUUCCCACCUAUGAGUCAGAACAUGCGGUGUUUGGUUUUUUGUCCUUGCAAUAGUUUGCUGAGGAUGAUGGUUUCCAGCUUCAUCCAUGUCCCUUAAAGCAGAUUAAUGUAUAAAACAGUCUUCGAACUAACUUGGACUUACAAAUUUGCACAUUUUCUUUUAAGAGCAUUUCAUAUUUUCUACUUUACUUCCGAAUUUUCAAGCUGAGAAAUUUUGUUUAUAAUUUUAUUUUCUGUGGAUUUUAUAAGGCACUACAAGAUCACUGUAGAUUAAAAAUUAAAUAGUAAACAGUCCCUAACUUCAAGUUGUUCAUAAUUUAUCACAGGCACUGAGGUGGAUGCCUAAAUGGCAUACUCAUAUACAGGAGAGAGGUCAGAGGCCAGUCUAGCAACUGAAUUUUGUGGAUUUGUCAGUAAGAAUUAGAAAAGUAGUUGUGAUGUUCAUGACAAUAGGGUGAAAGAAAGAUGUAAAAGAUGUCAUGUGAAGACUGAAAAGUAUUUUCCUUUUUGAGUUAGACACAAUAGUAUGUAGUCUUUUUCAGUCUGUUUUAAAGCCCUUAGGCAUGAACAGUAAUGUAUUCAGGAUCUGUGGAACAGGUAACAUAGUGAACUGCCAGAGCGAGGAGAACCAAGAAGUGGAAAAGAGCAGUGAACUAAGUAAAUCCUUAGAUCUAUGUCAUCUCAAAUUGGCAAAUUUGCUGAUAUUGUGAUUGACUUAAGUAUCAAUAAUAUCAACAAAAAUAUUGGUAGUUCAUCUAAAUUUUAAAAUUCAGGUUUUUCUGUUGUUUUCUUUAAAUAUCUAAGUCAGUUCCCCACUUACUGCCCAUGGCAAUUCAAAUUCCCUGAUUAACACUGGAGCUUUUUGCAAGAUUUGAAAAUCUUUCUCAAGAUCAUAGUUUAUUCAACCUUUGUUUUGAAUUUUUCAAGUAAUUCAAACCUCACAACCAUAUUAUGCUAUUAUUAAUAACCAUUUUAAAGAAACUGAGGAAGGGAUAUUGAAAUAGCUUCUCAGAUCUAUCCAACUAUUAAUAUUAAGUAAUGUGAAAAAGAAUAAAACCCAGAAUGUCUAAAUUAUUUAAUAUCUAUUUUUAAAAUAAAGUCCUGAGUUAUUCCAGAAUAAAUUAUUUAACCUAGUCCUAAGAUUAAAAUUUUUGUUUUGAAAUCUCACAUAUUUGAAGGACACGUGACUUUUUUACACCACAUUGUCUGAAUUAAUUAGCAAAGGUAUUGCAAGCAAACCAACAGCAUAAUAGUGAACACUUCCUCAUAUCUUAAAAAAUCAAAUUCUAUAGACUUUCUAAACUAUGAAAAAUUUACAUUUGUCAUUCAACAAACUUAUUCUGUGUCAGUACCUGUUUCAUCCAUUUAGAUGCAACAGUGUAUGAAAACAGACAAAGAUUUCUGUUCUUAAAAGUUUACAAAGAGGAGAGCCUGCCAAUAUAAAAAUGAAUAUAUAAAUUUUGAAGUAUGCAAGAAAUUAAUCAAUACUAUAAAGAAAUAGUAGAGCAAGGAAAGCAUUUUUAAUACUAUCUAGAAUUUUCAAAUCUUCUUAUGGUUUAAAGUAUAGUCAUGAUACUCUCUUGGGUAAAGUGAGUAGGGCUGGUAGGUGCCUGCAUGUAUGCAUGUGUGUGUGUGAAUAACUGUGUAUUGCUAUUUAGAAGAGUUAGGGUGGUCAAACUCUAAAAAGAUUCACAUUGAAAUAGUCAUCUUCUAAAAGGUCACAUGAUAUGUUACCUUAGCUAUUUUUUUUAUACUUGAAAUACCUUGGGCAGUAACAACUCUUCCCAAAUUUGAUUUAAAUGAUAAAAAGAAAGAUCAGUGAAUGACUAUAGUUAUAAAAAAUGUCUAUAACAACUGUCAGCAAUCUCCAGCAAUUUAUGGUACUCUUUGUAAGCGAAAUGACUUUAUUAUAGAGCAAGAGUGGAGCCUUUUCACUUUCAAAGUUACCUACAUCUAGCUGCAAUUGUUGGUAGGAUUAAGCCUCAUCAAAAAUAAAAUUGGGAGUAAGGAAAAAUCCUAGAAAUCAAAGUUGCAAAAAAGACUAGAAUAGAAAACUGAUCACACUUUGGAAGUUACUCUGACUAAACACUGAAAAACAAAAUGCCUUUUUAAUACUUAUUAUUAUCAUUAACUUUGGAAAGAGAAAGGAUCCUAAGUUAAUUUAACCGUUAGUCAAUUUUACAUGAAUACAUAAUACCCUAAAUAAAUAUCUUGUUCAUUAGGUAAGCAUAUAGUUUUAUGAUAAAAUUUAAAAUCUAUGCUUCUAUUAUGAUUCAAAUUUACACAAAUUUAUUUGGAAGACACAGUCAUAUUAUUUUUAUUUUCUAUAAAAGUUUUGGAAAAAAAUACACUAAAGAAAUACUGCAUUGUAAAAACCACUCUUGCCAUUAGAGAACAUGUAAGUGUUCUUUCAUGUAUAAGUAAUAAAGAAUCAACAUUUGCUGCUUUUGGAAACAAAAUGAAACAAGAGAGGAAAUAUGUCUAGCUUUUAGGGCAAUUUGGUAAUAUUUGAGAAACACAGCCUGACAACUCAAAGGGUAUUUUUUAAUGUUUAUGUAAAUGUAUACAUAUGCAUACAUGUGUACAUAUAAGUAUAUAUAUCCAACAUAUAAACAUGUAUGUAUGUAUACAUAUAUAGAUAUGUACACAUAUACAUAUGUAUGUAUACAUAUAUAGAUAUGUACACAUAUACGUAUGUAUACAUAUAUAGAUAUGUACACAAAUACAUAUGUAUGUAUACAUAUAUAGAUAUGUACACAUAUACAUAUGUAUGUAUACAUAUAUAGAUAUGUA
rnacentral:lncRNA from 10 species